UGAUAUAAAUACUUUUUUUACAACCUGAUAUGAAUUGAACUGUGCAUUGUUUAAAAUGCUGUAAUAAAUUAAGUUGUAAUGUUGAGGUAAUGUGGUACAUUAAAGCAUUUUUUCAUGAUGCCACAAUAGGAAAUUCAGAGGAAAGCAGGAAAACUUGAUGUCAUAAUCGACUUUUGACCAAUGAAUAACUGAGAUCAAACGAACCACACGUUGAUCAAUUAAUAAACUGUGAAUUGUUUAAAAGUGAGUUGUAAUGUGGUACAUUAAAGCAGUUUGGAAUGCAUUGUGCUAACCUUUGAUGCUAGGUUAAAGGGGCACUAGCUGUCAAAUUCAUGUUUACCAAUUUUUAAUCAAAUUUUAAUAUUUGAUUUAUAACAAUGUAAAACAUUUAUCCAAACUAUUCAAAGUCUAAAAUAAACAAUUAACAGGGCAGGAGCAUGAAAAUAUGUAGCUUCAUUUUGUUUGUAUUUUAGUCUAGAAUAAUUAACUUUUAAGUUGACUUCUAAAGUCGUCCGAUGACCAUAUAAGUGAUGUAAACAUAAAUAUAGAUAUAAAUAGUUUAAGCAAAGUUGUGCUGUUAGGUUUUUCUAGGUCUAUUUAAUUUCAUAUUAUAGAUGAAAAAUAAAUGUUUAUAAUCGUUUUUACCUGUAUAAGAAUGUUUUUGGUGGAUCGAAUCAGUCAAUCAAAUGAUUUACCUUUGUUGACCAUACAAUGUUGACAUUCUUUUCCUUUAAAUAACUUUACACAUACAAUUCACGUGUUAUCCAUCUCAAGCUAAGGGGUUAAAUUGAAGUUCACAUGAAUACGGAUUCAAUGAGGUCGAAUUAUUCACUUGCAAGUGAAUAAUUCAUUUUCAAUGGGUUUUUUUUAGCUUAUUUUGAACAAUACUGGCUGCUAAAAGCAAAUUAUUAUUUCACUAUUUGCAUUUUAUAAAUGAUUGAGCAAAAAAAAUUAUAUAUUAAAUUUUAUGUAUCUCGUAGCUAGUGCCCCUUUAAAGGUACAUAUGAAAUUAAAGUAAAAAUGUCCUUAAUCCACAAAAAAUAUUAUCUUUUGUUGUCCUUGCAGAUUUUAGCCUUCAACAUACAUGUAUAUUGGUGUACAAGAGGACAACAGCAAUAAAAUAUUAAUACACACAUUAUACAACAAAUGGCGAGACAGAACAGUCAUUAUUAAACACAAUUUCAUACGACUGUAUAGAAGACAUUUAAUAUAAACUAUAGUAAUAUAUGCCAUCAUUUU
rnacentral:lncRNA from 1 species